CCUACGGGAGGCAGCAGUGGGGAAUAUUGGACAAUGGGGGGAACCCUGAUCCAGCCAUGCCGCGUGUGUGAAGAAGGCCCUCGGGUUGUAAAGCACUUUCAGUGAGGAAGAACGCCUGGUGGUUAAUACCCAUCAGGAAAGACAUCACUCACAGAAGAAGCACCGGCUAACUCCGUGCCAGCAGCCGCGGUAAUACGGAGGGUGCGAGCGUUAAUCGGAAUUACUGGGCGUAAAGCGCGCGUAGGUGGCUUGAUAAGCCGGUUGUGAAAGCCCCGGGCUCAACCUGGGAACGGCAUCCGGAACUGUCAAGCUAACGUGCAGGAGAGGAAGGUAGAAUUCCCGGUGUAGCGGUGAAAUGCGUAGAGAUCGGGAGGAAUACCAGUGGCGAAGGCGGCCUUCUGGACUGACACUGACACUGAGGUGCGAAAGCGUGGGUAGCAAACAGGAUUAGAUACCCCAGUAGUA
rnacentral:rRNA from 1 species